rnacentral:rRNA from 1 species
AUUGAACGCUGGCGGCAUGCCUUACACAUGCAAGUCGAACGGUAACAGGCCGCAAGGUGCUGACGAGUGGCGAACGGGUGAGUAAUGCAUCGGAACGUGCCCAGUCGUGGGGGAUAACUACUCGAAAGAGUAGCUAAUACCGCAUACGAUCUAUGGAUGAAAGCGGGGGACCGUAAGGCCUCGCGCGAUUGGAGCGGCCGAUGUCAGAUUAGGUAGUUGGUGGGGUAAAGGCUCACCAAGCCAACGAUCUGUAGCUGGUCUGAGAGGACGACCAGCCGCACUGGGACUGAGACACGGCCCAGACUCCUACGGGAGGCAGCAGUGGGGAAUUUUGGACAAUGGGCGCAAGCCUGAUCCAGCAAUGCCGCGUGCAGGAAGAAGGCCUUCGGGUUGUAAACUGCUUUUGUACGGAACGAAACGGCUCUGGUUAAUACCCGGGGCUAAUGACGGUACCGUAAGAAUAAGCACCGGCUAACUACGUG